GCAAGUGUUAAUGUUGUUUUUUUUGUAAUCUGUUAUUAAUAUUAUCAUACUACGUUAACAUGAAAAAAGACAAAUCAUCAAAUUAGUUCAUUAUGCCAUUACUUUAUUACCAGAUGUUCAUUAAUGUUUAAUCAUUAUUUAAUUAAGGGAUGCUGUUACAGAUAAUAAAUAGACAGCUUUGAUUCUGAACAAUUCAUUUAAAAGGACUGCGCUGCAAAGUAUUGAUUUGUUACAAAAUGGUCAAGAUUUUCAUCACUACCUUCAUAGUAUCCCUUCUACUGUGUUAUGUUUGUGCUGAUGAAUGUGAGGUGACGACACCGCAGCAAAUAGAAUGUAUGGGCGGACGCACAGAGGGUUUAUUCUACUCGUACAAUGGCGGACAAUGUAGGCGUAUGUACGGUUGUUUCUCCGCUUACGCAACAAACCUAUACAACGAGGAGGAAGACUGCAUUAAAGCUUGGGAAAAUUGUUGAAUAUGUAUAUGAUACAUGGAAAUAAAAUAGAUA